rnacentral:rRNA from 1 species
GCUCCAAUAGCGUAUAUUAAAGUUGUUGCAGUUAAAAAGCUCGUAGUCGGAUGUCGGGGCGCGGCGAGCCGGUCUGCCGGAAUGGUGUGUACUGGCCGCUCGUCCUUCUUCCGGUGUGUCGGCGGCUUCCUUAACUGGGCGGCGUUUCCGGCUCCGGAUCGUUUACUUUGAAAAAUUAGAGUGUUUAAAGCAGACUUACG